GGGCGGUUGGCUCAGUUGGUAGAGCGCUUCGUUCACAUCGAAGAGGCCAUAGGUUCGAGUCCUAUACCGCCCA
rnacentral:tRNA from 1 species